rnacentral:rRNA from 1 species
AUUGAACGCUGGCGGUAUGCUUAACACAUGCAAGUCGAACGGUAACAGUGCUAGCUUGCUAGUAGCUGACGAGUGGCGGACGGGUGAGUAAUGCAUAGGAAUCUGCCUAAUAGUGGGGGGACAACCCGAGGAAACUCGGGCUAAUACCGCAUAAUACUUUGGUUGAAAGCGUGGGACCUUCGGGCCAUGUGCUAUUAGAUGAGCCUAUGUCAGAUUAGCUUGUUGGUGAGGUAAAAGCUCACCAAGGCGAUGAUCUGUAGCUGUUCUGAGAGGAAGAUCAGCCACACUGGAACUGAGGCACGGUCCAG